rfam:Acyrthosiphon pisum strain LSR1 Contig1000048, whole genome shotgun sequence.
AAAAAGGUCCUUUUCAGGACCAACAAUUCAUAGCUAAAACCACGU